AUCCUUACCUGGCAAGGGACAUACCAUGAUCAUGAAGGUGGUUUUCCAAGGGAGAAGCCUUAUCCACUGCACUCUGAAUAUGCGGAUGCUGUGACUUCCCCCAAGGUGGAAAACUCAAAGACGUAAUUAGUGCCUGUGGGAAACUACAUUCAAGCCCUCUCCUG